AUGGCGCGCCGCCGCGUGCUCCUCUACCUCAAGCCCUUCGAUGUCUACCCUCCGCGCCCUCUCUCCGGCGCCUCCUCCCUCACCUUCCCGCCACCGCCUCCGCCGCCGCGCGCCGCCAACCCCAAGAUCUUAAGUUAUCUGGACCAUAGAUGCAGAGUCCACAAGGACACAAUCAAUCUCUGUAAGAGUGUACUACAGCGCAAGCCCCUUGACUGGAUCUCAGUGCAGCGAAAUCAUUUGUCAAAUCCAAUACAUGAUGUGGAUCUUGUGAUUACUGUCGGUGGUGAUGGCACACUUUUACGGGCUAGCCAUUUUUUGGAUAGCUCGAUUCCCAUUUUAGGUGUUAAUUCGGAUCCUACGUGUUCUGAUGAGGUUGAAGAGUUAACCGAGGAAUUUGAUGCGAGAAGAAGCACCGGAUAUCUUUGUGCAGCUACUGCCAGGAACUUUGAGCAGAUACUUGAUGCAACCCUUGCUGGCAGUAGACACUAUUCAGAGCUGUCAAGAAUAUCUGUGAAACUAAAUGGAUCCCAGCUACCAACUUAUGCUCUGAAUGAUAUAUUGGUGUCACACCCCUGUCCGGCAAGUGUAUCGCGGUUCUCAUUAAGAAAAAGAAGCAAUGGGGAGACCUCAUGUUUGAUUAAUUCUAGAUCAAGCGGUCUCAGGGUUGCAACAGCUACUGGAUCAACUGCUGCCAUGCUAUCAGCAGGAGGAUUUAUGAUGCCAAUAUCAAGUCGUGAGCUUCAGUAUAUGAUAAGGGAGCCCAUUUCACCAACGGAUGCCGACAAACCACUGCUGCAUGGGUUAGUUAAGCAAGAGCAACAUAUGCUUGUUGUUUGGUACAAUCAAGAGGGUGCUGUGUAUAUUGAUGGUUCUCAUGUAACAUAUCCAAUCCAGCAUGGGGAUACACUUGAGAUCUCCUCAGAUGCUCCAGUCUUAAAAGUUAUUUUACCAGAAUAUCUGUUAAAGCAGGCAUCUUUAUAA
rnacentral:rRNA from 1 species